GACGAACCGUGCGAACGUUGUUCGGAAUCACUGGGCAUAAAGGGCGCGUAGGCGGCUUAUCAAGUCAGGGUGAAAUCCGGCAGCUUAACUGUCGAAGUGCCCUUGAUACUGAUGAGCUCGAGGGAGAUAGGGGUGUGUGGAACUUCCGGUGGAGCGGUGAAAUGCGUUGAUAUCGGAAGGAACGCCGGUGGCGAAAGCGACACACUGGAUCUCUUCUGACGCUGAGGCGCGAAAGCGUGGGGAGCGAACAGG
rnacentral:rRNA from 1 species